rnacentral:rRNA from 1 species
AGUGAACGCUGGCGGCGUGCCUAACACAUGCAAGUCGAACGAUGAUGGAUGAGCUUGCUCAUCCUGAUUAGUGGCGCACGGGUGAGUAUACCAUAGAUAAUGUACCCCUUAGUUCGGGAUAGCCACUGGAAACGGUGAUUAAUACCGGAUACUCCUUCUUGCCAUAAGGUAAGUCGGGAAAGUUUUUUCGCUAAGGGAUCAGUCUAUGUCCUAUCAGGUAGUUGGUGAGGUAACGGCUCACCAAGCCUAUGACGGGUAUCUGGUUUGAGAGGAUGAUCAGACAUACUGGAACUGAGACACGGUCCAGACUCCUACGGGAGGCAGCAGUGGGGAAUAUUGCACAAUGGAGGAAACUCUGAUGCAGCAACGCCGCGUGGAGGAUGACGCAUUUCGGUGUGUAAACUCCUUUUAAGAGGGAGGAUUAUGACGGUACCUCUUGAAUAAGCACCGGCUAACUCCGUGCCAGCCGCCGCGGUAACAC